GUAUUAGGUUGGUGCAAAAGUAAUUGCAAUUUCUGCAACUGAAAGUAAUGGCAAAAACUGCAAUUACUUUUGCACCAACCUAAUAGAUGUCUAU
ensembl:miRNA